ACUACAGACACAGCCGCGGUUAAUACGUAGGGAGCAAGCGUUAUCGGAUUUAUUGGGUGUAAAGGGUGCGUAGACGGUUUUUAAGUUGGUUGUGAAAUCGCUCCUCGCUUACUGAGGAAUUGCAACCAAAACUGGAAAUCUUGAGUACUGGAGGGGCAAGUGGAAUUCCUAGUGUAGCGGUGAAGUGCGUAGAUAUUAGGAGGAACACCGGUGGCGAAGGCGACUUGCUGGACAGAUACUGACGUUGAGGCACGAAAGUGUGGGGAGCAAACAGGAUUAGAUACCCUGGUAGUCCACACUGUAGACGAUGGAUACUAGGUGUAGGAUGGCUUGCCAUUCUGUGCCGCACGCUAACGCAAUAAGUAUCCCACCUGGGGAGUACGACCGCAAGGUUGAAACUCAAAGGAAUUGACGGGGGCCCGCACAAGCAGUGGAGUAUGUGGUUUAAUUCGAAGCAACGCGAAGAACCUUACCAGGGCUUGACAUAUACAGGAAUUAGGUGGAAACACUUAAGCUCUUCGGAGUCUGUAUACAGGUGGUGCAUGGUUGUCGUCAGCUCGUGUCGUGAGAUGUUGGGUUAAGUCCCGCAACGAGCGCAACCCCUAUUGCUAGUUACUAACAUUUAGUUGAGAACUCUAGCGAGACUGCCGGUGAUAAACCGGAGGAAGGUGGGGAUGACGUCAAAUCAUCAUGCCCUUUAUGUCCUGGGCAACACACGUACUACAAUGGCCGUAACAGAGAGAUGCAAUGGAGCGAUCCGGAGCGAAACUGUUAAAAGCGGUCUCAGUUCAGAUUGAAGGCUGAAACUCGCCUCCAUGAAGAUGGAAUUGCUAGUAAUGGCAGGUCAGCAUACUGCCGUGAAUACGUUCCCGGGCCUUGUACACACCGCCCGUCACACCAUGAGAGUUGGAUAUAUCCGAAGCCUGUGAGCCAACAAUAAUGAGGCAGCAGUCGAAGGAGAG
rnacentral:rRNA from 1 species